rnacentral:tRNA from 26 species
UCCGCGAUAGCUCAGUUGGUAGAGCAAAUGACUGUUAAUCAUUGGGUCCCAGGUUCGAGUCCUGGUCGCGGAGCCA